GGUGGGGUAACGGCUCACCUAGGCGACGAUCCCUAGCUGGUCUGAGAGGAUGACCAGCCACACUGGAACUGAGACACGGUCCAGACUCCUACGGGAGGCAGCAGUGGGGAAUAUUGCACAAUGGGCGCAAGCCUGAUGCAGCCAUGCCGCGUGUAUGAAGAAGGCCUUCGGGUUGUAAAGUACUUUCAGCGGGGAGGAAGGCGAUAAGGUUAAUAACCUUGUCGAUUGACGUUACCCGCAGAAGAAGCACCGGCUAACUCCGUGCCAGCAGCCGCGGUAAUACGGAGGGUGCAAGCGUUAAUCGGAAUUACUGGGCGUAAAGCGCACGCAGGCGGUCUGUCAAGUCGGAUGUGAAAUCCCCGGGCUCAACCUGGGA
rnacentral:rRNA from 1 species